rnacentral:misc_RNA from 1 species
AACGCACCUUGCGCUCCUUGGUAUUCCGAGGAGCAUGCCUGUUUGAGUGUCAUUAAAUUCUCAACUAUUAUCAGCUUUUGCUGAUGAUGGCUUGGAUAUGGGGGUUUAUUUUGCUGGCUUCACAGAAUGUCAGCUCCCCUUAAAUGCAUUAGCCGGUGCCCCGCGUGGACUGUCUAUUGGUGUGAUAAUUAUCUACGCCGUGGACAUCUACAAUCAUAUGGGUUUGUACUGUGCUUCCAACCGUCUGUUUACUCAGACAAUACAUGACAAUUUGACCUCAAAUCAGGUAGGACUACCCGCUGAACUUAA